GCUGGGUGUGGUGAUGCAUGCCUGUAAUCCCAGUGACUUGGGAGGCUGAGGCAAGAAGAUCAAGGCAUCCUCAGCAAUUUAGAGAGAUCUUGUCUCAA
rnacentral:sRNA from 1 species